GGGCGGCAAAUAUGGCAAUCCACCAGAUUUGGGGACUGUUUUCUUUGAGACUCGUAAGAAAGAUAACAAGCUUGUUGAACCUGAAGCAAUUGAAAAACAUGCUCAAAUUGAAAAAAUGGUUCAAUCGGAGCCAUCUCUAUCUAGCAUAGAGAUUGUCAAAAAAUGUGGUGGACCUCAAACUCGUAGCCAUGUAUUUGGCUUUGGGGUGGAGUAAAGGCAAAAGACUUGAAAGGUGGCACUUCUUCAAAUGAUGAAUUGCUGUCUGCGCUAGUCCUUGAAUGAGAAAAAUAAAUCCUUGAAUGAUCUCUUGUCUACGUUAGAAGAUAAUAUGAAAGAAAUUAAGAAAAUAAAAGAAUUCUUUGCUGCUCAACAAUCAUAUGUCCCGCCUACGACAUCGCCCGUUUCAACUGGAUGACCACUGCCUUUGUCUGCUGACCAAGUUUCGAAGAUUGAAUUUAACAAGUCAAGAUGCAAGUUUAGAAUAUGCACAAGCCCAUUAUUUUGCUAGGAAUGUUAUGCACUCGCUAUCGUAGUCUAGCUCGAGUGUUAGUAAAGUUGUUUUGUUAAGGUGUCGAGCAAAUAUUGAAACUAACAUCAUGGGAUGUUAACAAUUUUAUUGUAAUUAACAACUCUAUCUU